GGCCUCGUGGCCCAAUGGCAAGGCGUCUGACUACGAUUGCGGUCAUCACAUCACGUGAUGAUCACCUGAUUUAUCAGGAGAGUGCAGGUUCGACCCCUGCCGGGGUCA